UCCGUAGGUGAACCUGCGGAAGGAUCAUUACCAAAAGAUAUUCUUUCAACUCGAAAGAUCUUUUCCUUUGUGCUGGCUUUGACCGUAUGUAAUUUUGGGACUUAAACAUGGUAGAGCCUUAUGGUUUGACCGGUCCCAAAAACAAUAUAUCAUCCUUAUGAAAAACUUACUGAACAACUAAACAAUGAUUUUAAUAAUCUGUUUAAAACAACUUUCAACAACGGAUCUCUUGGUUCUCGCAUCGAUGAAGAACGCAGCGAAAUGCGAUACGUAAUGUGAAUUGCAGAAUUCAGUGAAUCAUCGAAUCUUUGAACGCACAUUGCACUCCUUGGUAUUCCGAGGAGUAUGCCUGUUUCAGUAUCAUGAGCACUCUCACACCUAACCUUUGGGUUAUGCUGUGGAAUUGGGAUGCGCCGAUUUUUACUAGUCGGCACUCCUAAAAUGUAGCUCUUGGCUGUUUCCUACUACAGCAGUUUGGCCUAAUAGUUUUGACUUUUGUCAAAUCUUUGGCUACAUUUGCUUCUGGAAAUCAGUCUUGAUAAUACAGAAAACUCAUUUCAAACUUUGAUCUGAAAUCAGGUAGGGCUACCCGCUGAACUUAAGCAUAUCAAUAAGCGGAGGA
rnacentral:rRNA from 1 species